CGUACGAAAAGGCAACCUCACCGAAAGAUGAUGGACGCAAAACUAAAGGGGCUAAGUCAAAUGUGAUAAGCCAGCCAGAUACCGAA
rnacentral:ncRNA from 1 species